UACGUAGGGUGCAAGCGUUGUCCGGAAUUAUUGGGCGUAAAGAGCUCGUAGGCGGUUUGUCGCGUCGAAUGUGAAAACCCGGGGCUCAACCCCGGGCCUGCAUUCGAUACGGGCAGACUAGAGUUCGGUAGGGGAGUCUGGAAUUCCUGGUGUAGCGGUGAAAUGCGCAGAUAUCAGGAGGAACACCGGUGGCGAAGGCGGGUCUCUGGGCCGUAACUGACGCUGAGGAGCGAAAGCGUGGGGAGCAAACAGG
rnacentral:rRNA from 1 species